AACUUUGUGUUACAAUUAAGUAGUAAAGAAGUGAAGACGGUGGUUACAUUCUUUUCUGAAAGUGAGGUGAUGCCUAUGCGGUAUUCAUCAAAAUCUAACAGAAGGGAGGUAACUCUUUGACUGCUUUUGAAGUGGUAGAGACGAUUUUAGGUUUUGCUAUGUUUACCAUAGCCCUAAUCAGUCUUUG
rnacentral:sRNA from 1 species